UCAGACGAUGCGUCAUGCAUAUCAAUAAGCGGAGGAAAAGAAACUAACAAGGAUUCCCCUAGUAACGGCGAGUGAAGCGGGAAGAGCUCAAAUUUGAAAUCUUAAAGGGUUUCCCUUUACGAAUUGUAGUUUAAAGAAGUGUUUUCUGUUGAGGUUUUGGUAAAAGUUCUUUGGAAUAGGACAUCAUAGAGGGUGAGAAUCCCGUAUUUGACCUUUACUUUCAACUUUGUGAUACACUUUCAAAGAGUCGGAUUGUUUGGGAAUGCAGUCCAAAAUGGGUGGUAAAUUUCAUCUAAAGCUAAAUAUUGGCGAGAGACCGAUAGCGAACAAGUACCGUGAGGGAAAGAUGAAAAGAACUUUGAAAAGAGAGUUAAACAGUACGUGAAAUUGUCAAAAGGGAAGCGUUUAACACCAGUGUUGUUUUUCUGAAAAUCAAUUAAAGAACUGUUUAUGCUAAGCUGUUUAGACUUUAUCAGCUAUCUGUUUAGUUUUGAGCUUUUCUUUAAUGCACUUUUCAGUUAACAAGUCAACAUCAAUUUCUUUUGCUGUAAAAAAGCUUGAGGAAGGUGGCUUGAGAUUCGUCUUAAGUGUUUAUAGCCUCUUGCCUAUGCAGUCGGGGAGAUUGAGGUCUGCAGCGUAGAUCCUUCGGGGCUAAAUGCAUUUGUGCUAAGUUAUAGCAUUUUAUAGACAACUUGUUGACUAUGAUUUGUCUUGUAGCUUACUCGCUUAUGUUAUUUUACCUACGCUUAGGAUGUUGACACACGCGCGUGCUCG
rnacentral:rRNA from 1 species